GGGCUCACACAAGCGGUGGAGCAUGUGGCUCAAUUCGAGGCUACGCGAAGAACCUUAUCCUGGGCUUGACAUGCACGGAUUAGCCGGCGGAAACGUCGGUGACGCCGCAAGGUGGAACGUGCACAGGUGCUGCAUGGCUGUCGUCAGCUCGUGCCGUGAGGUGUUGGGUUAAGUCCCGUAACGAGCGAAACCCCUGUGAUCAGUUGCCAGCGCGUCAAGGCGGGGACUCUGAUCAGACCGCCGGCGUCAAGCCGGAGGAAGGCGGGGACGACGUCAAGUCAUCAUGGCCCUUAUGCCCAGGGCUGCACACGUGCUACAAUGGGGCGGACAGAGCGUCGCCAGGCCGCAAGGCCGCGCCAAUCGCAAAAACCGCCCCCCAGUUCGGAUUGCGGGCUGCAACCCGCCCGCAUGAAGCCGGAAUCGCUAGUAAUCGCCGAUCAGCACUGCGGCGGUGAAUGUGUUCCUGAGCCUU
rnacentral:rRNA from 1 species